rnacentral:rRNA from 1 species
CCUACGGGUGGCAGCAGUGGGGAAUAUUGCGCAAUGGGCGAAAGCCUGACGCAGCGACGCCGCGUGAGGGAUGAAGGUCUUCGGAUCGUAAACCUCUGUCAGCAGGGAAGAACGGUCACUGUGCUAAUCAGCAGUGAAUUGACGGUACCUGCAAAGGAAGCACCGGCUAACUCCAUGCCAGCAGCCGCGGUAAUACGGAGGAUCCGAGCAUUAUCCGGAGUGACUGGGUGUAAAGAGUUGCGUAGGUGGCAUAAUAAGUAGCUAGUGAAAUCUGGUGGCUCAACCAUUCAGACUAUUAGCUAAACUGUUAAGCUCGAGACCGUUAGGGGUAACUGGAAUUUCUAGUGUAGGAGUGAAAUCCGUAGAUAUUAGAAGGAACACCAAUAGCGUAGGCAGGUUGCUGGGACGGUUCUGACACUAAGGCACGAAAGCGUAGGGAGCAAACGGGAUUAGAUACCCUUGUAGUC